rnacentral:rRNA from 1 species
GUGAGGAAUAUUGGACAAUGGGCGCAAGCCUGAUCCAGCCAUGCCGCGUGCAGGAAGACGCAUCUAUGGUGUGUAAACUGCUUUUGUACGGGAAGAAACACUCCCUCGUGAGGGAGCUUGACGGUACCGUAAGAAUAAGGAUCGGCUAACUCCGUGCCAGCAGCCGCGGUAAUACGGAGGAUCCAAGCGUUAUCCGGAAUCAUUGGGUUUAAAGGGUCCGUAGGCGGUUUAAUAAGUCAGUGGUGAAAGCCCAUCGCUCAACGAUGGAACGGCCAUUGAUACUGUUAGACUUGAAUUACAAGGAAGUAACUAGAAUAUGUAGUGUAGCGGUGAAAUGCUUAGAUAUUACAUGGAAUACCAAUUGCGAAGGCAGGUUACUACUUGUGGAUUGACGCUGAUGGACGAAAGCGUGGGGAGCGAACAGGAUUAGAAACCCGAGUAGUCU